rnacentral:rRNA from 1 species
ACCUAGCGGCGGACGGGUGAAUGCUUAGGAAUCUGCCUAUUAGUGGGGGACAACAUCUCGAAAGGGAUGCUAAUACCGCAUACGUCCUACGGGAGAAAGCAGGGGAUCUUCGGACCUUGCGCUAAUAGAUGAGCCUAAGUCGGAUUAGCUAGUUGGUGGGGUAAAGGCCUACCAAGGCGACGAUCUGUAGCGGGUCUGAGAGGAUGAUCCGCCACACUGGGACUGAGACACGGCCCAGACUCCUACGGGAGGCAGCAGUGGGGAAUAUUGGACAAUGGGCGCAAGCCUGAUCCAGCCAUGCCGCGUGUGUGAAGAAGGCCUUAUGGUUGUAAAGCACUUUAAGCGAGGAGGAGGCUACUUUAGAUAAUACCUAGAGAUAGUGGACGUUACUCGCAGAAUAAGCACCGGCUAACUCUGUGCCAGCAGCCGCGGUAAUACAGAGGGUGCAAGCGUUAAUCGGAUUUACUGGGCGUAAAGCGCGCGUAGGCGGCUAAUUAAGUCAAAUGUGAAAUCCCCGAGCUUAACUUGGGAAUUGCAUUCGAUACUGGUUAGCUAGAGUGUGGGAGAGGAUGGUAGAAUUCCAGGUGUAGCGGUGAAAUGCGUAGAGAUCUGGAGGAAUACCGAUGGCGAAGGCAGCCAUCUGGCCUAACACUGACGCUGAGGUGCGAAAGCAUGGGGAGCAAACAGGAUUAGAUACCCUGGUAGUCCAUGCCGUAAACGAUGUCUACUAGCCGUUGGGGCCUUUGAGGCUUUAGUGGCGCAGCUAACGCGAUAAGUAGACCGCCUGGGGAGUACGGUCGCAAGACUAAAACUCAAAUGAAUUGACGGGGGCCCGCACAAGCGGUGGAGCAUGUGGUUUAAUUCGAUGCAACGCGAAGAACCUUACCUGGCCUUGACAUAGUAAGAACUUUCCAGAGAUGGAUUGGUGCCUUCGGGAACUUACAUACAGGUGCUGCAUGGCUGUCGUCAGCUCGUGUCGUGAGAUGUUGGGUUAAGUCCCGCAACGAGCGCAACCCUUUUCCUUAUUUGCCAGCGAGUAAUGUCGGGAACUUUAAGGAUACUGCCAGUGACAAACUGGGAGGAAGGNGGGGAACGAC